AUUGAACGCUGGCGGCAGGCCUAACACAUGCAAGUCGAGCGGUAGCACAGAGAGCUUGCUCUCGGGUGACGAGCGGCGGACGGGUGAGUAAUGUCUGGGAAACUGCCUGAUGGAGGGGGAUAACUACUGGAAACGGUAGCUAAUACUGCAUAACGUCGCAAGACCAAAGUGGGGGACCUUCGGGCCUCAUGCCAUCAGAUGUGCCCAGAUGGGAUUAGCUAGUAGGUGGGGUAACGGCUCACCUAGGCGACGAUCCCUAGCUGGUCUGAGAGGAUGACCAGCCACACUGGAACUGAGACACGGUCCAGACUCCUACGGGAGGCAGCAGUGGGGAAUAUUGCACAAUGGGCGCAAGCCUGAUGCAGCCAUGCCGCGUGUAUGAAGAAGGCCUUCGGGUUGUAAAGUACUUUCAGCGGGGAGGAAGGCGACAAGGUUAAUAACCUUGUCGAUUGACGUUACCCGCAGAAGAAGCACCGGCUAACUCCGUGCCAGCAGCCGCGGUAG
rnacentral:rRNA from 1 species